GACGAACGCUGGCGGCGUGCUUAACACAUGCAAGUCGAACGGACAGGCGCGGCUUUUGUGGCGUGCUCGAGUGGCGAACGGGUGAGUAACACGUGAGUAACCUGCCCUUGACUGUGGGAUAACUUCUGGAAACUGGGGCUAAUACCGGAUAGGAUCUCCUGAUGCAUGGUGGGGGUUGGAAAGUUUCGGCUGUUGUGGAUGGACUGGCGGCUUAUCAGCUUGUUUGUGGGGUAGUGGCUUACCAAGGCUUUGACGGGUAGGCGGCCUGGGAGGGUGACCGGCCACAUUGGGACUGCGAUACGGCCCAGACGCGUACGGGAGGCAGCAGUGGGGAAUAUUGCAGAAUGGGCGGACGCCUGAUGCAGCAACGUCGCGUGCGGGAUGACGGCCUUUGGGGUGUAAACCGCUUUCGACGGUGACGAAGAGUUAGUGACGGUAACUGGUCAAGAAGCAACGGCUAACUACGUG
rnacentral:rRNA from 1 species